rnacentral:misc_RNA from 1 species
GAUGAAGAACGUAGUGAAAUGCGAUACGUAGUGUGAAUUGCAGAAUUCAGUGAAUCAUCGAAUCUUUGAACGCACAUUGCACCUCUCGGUAUUCCGGGAGGUAUGCCUGUUCGAGCGUCAUUUGUACCCUCAAGCUCUGCUUGGUGUUGGGUGUUUGUUCCGCCUCUGUGUGUGAACUCGCCUCAAAACAAUUGGCAGCCGGCGUACUUGUUUCGGAGCGCAGCACAUUUUGCGAUCCAGAUCAACGUACAGCGGCAUCCAAGAAGCCUUAUUUAACGCUCUUGACCUCGGAUCAGGUAGGGAUACCCGCUGAACUUAAGCAUAUCAAUAAGCGGGAGGA